rnacentral:sRNA from 1 species
AUAUAUAUGUAUAUGUAUAUAUAUAUUUUUGGAACUUUGAAGAAUUAUGGUUAACAGUCUUAAUUUGGCUGUUUCUAACUAUAAAUUAAUAAAUUGUACUCCCUUGCAUGCAUUUGAACUAGCUCAAGGGGAUUCGGGAAAUUAUUUUAUGCUAUUUUAACACAGUUCUAUAAUUAGUCAUUGAUUUGGGAUUCAGAUGGGUAUUAAGAAAUAACCUUUCAUUCUUCCAGAGAGAAACUGGUUUGGAUGGCAUCUUUUUGAUUUAAUUAUUUGAUACUUAAAUUUUUGUUUUUCAUUCUGGAGUGAAUUAUG